UCAGACAAAUUAUGGUAACCGCCACAUGCAGGAAUUUUUUUUUCUCCCCCUCAAGUCAUGUAAUAACAAAAAUCACUGAAAUAUCCACAUAGAUCAGGAUUAGUGCCAACUGACAGAAAAAAACAUAUAAAUUAAACACUUUUUCUCUGAGAGAUGCCUCAAUAUUUGACCAUACAGAAAUAAGAAAUCUCAAUUUAAAAUCAUUUAUAUUAAAACAUAAAAAAUACAGAUUGAAAGGCCUAGAUGCUGAAAUCCACAUCCUAAAAAUAAUACCACAGCAUCACCCGAACCGAGAGGAGCAGACGAGGAAAAAUGAAGGGAAAAGCAGCGAGAAUCAAAGCCUUUUGUGACAAGACAGAGAAAGUCUCAUUCCAAUAAUACUAGCAGUCAUAUUCAGUGCCUCACAUGACAUGUUAGGGAGCAAGACAGCUAAUCAAUGUCCAGGUGAAUUAUUUAUGCCAGCUUUAAGUCUAAUACAUUUAUAUUACAGCGACCGCUGACUUCAAAGCUCUAAUGGCUGGACACACAGGGCGCUGCAGACAGUGGGGGCCGAGGCUGUACAGUAGGAAGAUCACCGCAAGCCGAAAAAACCAUGUUCAUCUACAGUCACUGUUCAGGUAGCGAAUUAAGCUGUAAUAAACGCUGUCUCCUAAUUUGCAAUAUAAAGCACCUCCUCAAUAAUCAGUAGUGACUUUUCAGUUUUUGUAAUGACUUUAUCUUGUGUACAAGAAAUUGGCGCUGGAGAGGAAAUUUAAAAAAAAUCAAAUCAAAGAACAUGUAAGAAAAUAAAAAAAGAAAGAAAGAAAAUUUGAAUUAAGUCUGAAAAUAGUAUUUCAGGAGUGGAAUUAAGAGAGCAAAGGUCACCACUGUCUCGCCGCAGCAUCCUCCAGCCAUGCUACACAAUUUACUGCUUUUCUAACUGCUGCAUAAGCACAAUGAAAUGAGCGCUCCAUGGACUAGUACAGGACACAGUACUGUGAUAGCCACAAAGACAACUACAAACCUCUGCCACUGAAACAAGGAAGUGCCUCAGUUCAAAUUAUGUGUGUUGUUGUGAACGUGUGUUUGUGGCAGUACUGAUGAGAAUAAUGAGUGACUAAUUCCACAUACCAGCCAGUAGCGUUAACAAGACUGGCUGACUAAGAGGGAAAGAAUGGCAAAAUGUUCUCAUAUGUGCAUAUGCCGGGAAUGAUAAAAUCUUAUAAAACCAUAAAACACAAACAGAGAGAAUUGCGUAAGCAGCAGCAGCAGAAAUUAUUUCAUGUGAAACUCUGGGUGAUCAUGUUGAACUCAGAAGCACAAAUUGUGUCAAACACAAAGGAAGGCAUUACGUGUCAGAUGUGCAUUUAUUUUCAAGGUGUGCACAAGCGCACAAAAAAACAAAAUUGAGGUAACAAAUAUCAGUUUCGUUAGCCAGAGCUGAGGUGGUAGGUGGUGGUGGUGGGGGGUGUUGGGGUGGUGGGGUCAUAUUUCCUAAUGCCUGGUCUUUGCCUUAACCUUGUAAAAUGAGAUGACAGGUCCUAAAGUGCAGACUUGUAAUUGCAACCGUUUAAAAUAGGGGGGCAAAAAAACACCCAAUGGUUGAGGAAAAUUAUUCCGCUUAAGGAUUGCUAUUGCCCAGUGGGACUAGCGAGGUGCUGAGCAAAUGAGCAGCCGGUGGAAGAAGAGGCUCCCCGCCGCUUGGGGCCCUCCAAAACUGAGCCCACACAGACCAGACCAAAGCAGAGGAGCUCCAAGCUGGCCUCUCCCCGGAUUGCCACAGCAGGUACCUGAGAGUUUACUGGGGGCUGGCAGCGUGUUAUCAUGCCUGCCGUGGGGGACACCUGCCUCUGAUGCCGCCCUGGUGAUUCUAAUCUACAGGACCCUUUAAUAAGAUGAUGAUAGGCUGCAUUGCCGGCGCUGCUCUGAAUGAUGGAGUAGGAGCAAGCGCGGCUUUCUGUUGCUGUUGUUUAUAUUGUUAUGGGUUUUUGCACGCUCACUUCUGCUCCACAUGCACAAUGUGGAUUGUCUCACCCAUGCACUUGCACGUCUCUUGAGUGUGGAGGAAGUCAGAGGCAUCACCAGCGUCUGAUCAGCUUUCUUCAUCAGCUCUGAUGAUGAAGCCAUACACUGAUUCUGACCUGGGCAAGUUUGAAUUGUUCAUCAUUCAAACUGUGGCAGAUUUAAUUAUACAUAUGUCUCUGUGUCCUAUACAAUUUUAAGCUAUAAAAUGCAAAACACUUGAAAUAAAACAUUACACUUUCA